rnacentral:lncRNA from 1 species
AGAUGCUGUCAGCCCUCUGCAAAAUGUUUCCUACAGGAUCAGUCUGAGUGCUGUGGAUGCAGAGAAAUCCAGUAAUGUAAGCAUUAGUUCCUCCUAGACACAAAGGUUCCAACAGCUGAGGAACUAUGAGAUAAACCAGACAAGCCAUUGCAGACACUUGGUUAUACUGACUGUUGUCCUGGUGAAUGCCGGAUACCAGAAGGCAACAGAGGAAUGACAGAAAAUACUUCUGGGUGUAUUCUUCAAGGAACUGAUAACAUCGGUGUUCUCCAGAGAGGAUUGCUGUGAGCCCUGCUCACAUUAUUUGAAUCUGAGGUGCAGGAGACCACAGAGGAAAGGGCACGAAGAGACUUAGGACCAAUCUUUUUCCAGACGGUGGAGUGCUGCCCAGUCCGGGCAACCAUCUGCUGUUGAACCCUGGGAAAGGGCAGGCUGGGGCUCCCGAGUCCCUCGGUGGGCUCCUCCCCAUGCCCUCAUCUGUUUUAGGCGGUG